rnacentral:rRNA from 1 species
UACGUAGGGUGCGAGCGUUGUCCGGAAUCAUUGGGCGUAAAGCGCGUGUAGGCGGCCCGGUAAGUCCGCUGUGAAAGUCGGGGGCUCAACCCUCGAAUGCCGGUGGAUACUGUCGGGCUAGAGUGCGGAAGAGGCGAGUGGAAUUCCUGGUGUAGCGGUGGAAUGCGCAGAUAUCAGGAGGAACACCAAUAGCGAAGGCAGCUCGCUGGGACGUUACUGACACUGAGGCGCGAAAGCGUGGGGAGCGAACAGG